UUCGGUGUGUAGCGGUGAAAUGUUUAGAUUUCACGAGGAACUCCGAUCGCGCAGGCAUUGUACCGGGGCAUUACUGACGCUGAGGCUGGAAGGUGCGGGUAUCAACAGGGAUUAGAUACCCUGGUAGUCCGCACAGUAAACGAUGAAUGCCCGCUGUCGGCGACAUAGUGUCGGCGGCCAAGCGAAAGCGUUAAGCAUUCCACCUGGGGAGUACGCCGGCAACGGUGAAACUCAAAGGAAUUGACGGGGGCCCGCACAAGCGGAGGAACAUGUGGUUUAAUUCGAUGAUACGCGAGGAACCUUACCCGGGCUUGAAUCGCAGGUGCAUGGGCCGGAGACGGCCCUUUCCUUCGGGACUCCUGCGAAGGUGCUGCAUGGUUGUCGUCAGCUCGUGCCGUGAGGUGUCGGCUUAAGUGCCAUAACGAGCGCAACCCCCCUCCCCAGUUGCCACCGGGUAAUGCCGGGCACUUUGGGGACACUGCCACCGCAAGGUGCGAGGAAGGUGGGGAUGACGUCAAAUCAGCACGGCCCUUACGUCCGGGGCGACACACGUGUUACAAUGGGGGGUACAGAGGGCCGCUGCCCGGUGACGGUUGGCCAAUCCCUAAAACCCCUCUCAGUUCGGACUGGAGUCUGCAACCCGACUCCACGAAGCUGGAUUCGCUAGUAAUCGCGCAUCAGCCAUGGCGCGGUGAAUACGUUCCCGGGCCUUGUACACACCGCCCGUCAAGCCAUGAAAGCCGGGGGUGCCUGAAGUCCGUGACCGCGAGGGUCGGCCUAGGGUAAAACCGGUGAUUGGGGCUAAGUCGUAACAAGGUAGCCGUACCGGAAGGUGCGGCUG
rnacentral:rRNA from 1 species